UUGCUUACCAAUAUCAAAGCGCUAGCGUAAAACAAUUUGGGAAGUGGGCAUUGCGUGAUUUAACGUUAUUUUACACAGAAAUGUUCAGCCAACUUGUCGGUGUAAUUGAGCGUUUUACAAUUGCAAUGCUGCUGACGAGCCAUGUUUAUCAGGCUGUGUUGUUGUGUGAUGAAUGUGGCAUCAUUUUCACUUGGCUUUCAGUCAUUUGUUGUAUUCAGUGUUUAAAGGAAAUGGGCAUUAUUGUAAGUGCCUUGGAGGAACAAAACCAAAAAUGUCCGUGUAAUUGAAAGCUUUUGUCUUGGUCUUUUACAACUGUUUACAAGUGCUUCUUGUGCACCAGAGAUGCUCAUAAUCAAAGAACAUGGUAAAUGGACUGCAUUUAUCUAGCACUUCUAUCCAAAGUGCUUUACAAUUGAUGCCUCUCAUUUGCCAGAGCAGUUAUGGGUUAGGUGUCUUGCUCAAGGACACUUCGACAUGCCCAGGGCGGGGUUUUUGAACCGGCAACCCUCUUCUGCCUCCUGAGCUAUGUCGCCCAGACAUAGUGUUUGAGUGUUUGCACCUUUCUGAGAAAACUUUUAGAUUUUUAGUGGAUGUCAGUGUAGACAUAAUUUUUUGACUGGACUGUAUACUGUGUUUACAUUGUAGGUUUUAUAGCUGUAUUAUCUCUUUGCUCCCUUUUCACCUAAGUUGAUGUGAGGUGAGCGUUCUGGGGCAAAAUGGCUGCCCUGCAUCACCCAGGUGGAUGCUACACAUUGGUGGUGGUUCAGAGCAGUCAGGGGCUUCCUGGGUGAGGCAGUGGAGUUCGGCUGUGUCGCUGUCCCAAGUCAGGACCUCUCUUUACGGCACAGGAGCCACUGAGGCGUGGAGAGGGGGUCACUCGCCAUCUUGGGGGAACACCACCCCGACCUGAUGCCUGGCUUCGUCCAUGAUCUCAGUCAAGAGGGAUGACUCCUCCAGUGACAUCCGAGAGCUCUCUUUAAGUCCUAGGGAAGAGAUCCGAAUGUAGUGUUAGGCCCUUGUGUCUGCGAUCUCAAAAAUGACUUUGUUUAGCAAGUUUGCUUUUAAGAAAGCUUAAAAACUGUGAAAUGUUGUCAUUAAAUGCUUAUCAGCAUAUAUCCCUUCAAAUAACAGCAUUUUCUAAAGAGCAAUUCGUUUUCUUUAAAAAAUAUCUAAAAAGCAACAGUAUACCGUAAGUCAUUGUGAUGGCAUGCUUACUUUGAUAAAAACUUCAACCUAG